UACCAGCACCUCGAGUGGUCAGGACGUUUAUUGGGCCUAAAGCAUCCGUAGCCGGUUUUGCAAGUCUCCGGUUAAACCCACCUGCUCAACAGAUGGGCCGCUGGAGAAACUACAAAACUAGGGAGUGGGAGAGGCAGACGGUAUUCAGUGGGUAGGGGUAAAAUCCUCUGAUCCUCUGAGGACCACCAGUGGCGAAGGCGGCCUGCCAGAACACGUUCGACGGUGAGGGAUGAAAGCUGGGGGAG
rnacentral:rRNA from 1 species